CACAAUCCGCAACCCCUGGGUCUGUGCAGUGACCAGCCAGUCCCUGAGAACUUUUCCCUCCAGCACCAGGGAAAAUGGGAUUAUUGCUCCUUGUGAUUUUCGCUGUAGCCGCUUUGGAAGGUGUCCGGUCCCAGGCGCUGGUGGAGUCCGGAGGGGAUGUGAAAAAGCCCGGAGACUCUCUCCGCCUCUCCUGCAAAGCCUCCGGGUUCACCUUCAGCAGCUACAAUAUGAACUGGGUCCGACAGGCUCCCGGGAAGGGGCUAGAAUGGGUCGCAUUUAUUUACUAUGAUGGGUCGGGUCCAAGCUACGCUGAUGCAGUGAAAGGCCGAUUCACCAUCUCCCGGGAUAAUCCCAAGAGUGAGCUGUAUCUGCAAAUGACCGGCCUGAAGCCCGAGGACAGCGCCCGCUAUUACUGUGCGGGACACAGUGACACGAAACCGGUUUGUGAUCAUACAAAAACCCAGGCGGCGGAAUCGCGCUUCUCCCGGCAGCCGCGCGGGGGCAGCAGUGACACACACACCGCUCCGGGCUGGGACAGGAGACCCUGCACCCGGGUGAAUGUAACACAAACCUCCCGGCAUCUUUAA